rnacentral:rRNA from 1 species
UACGUAGGCAGCAAGCGUUGUUCGGAAUUACUGGGCGUAAAGGGCGCGUAGGCGGUUGGAUAAGUCAGCUGUGAAAACCACGGGCUUAACUCGUGGCCUGCAGUUGAGACUGUCUGGCUUGAGUGUGGGAGAGGAGAGUGGAAUUCCUGGUGUAGCGGUGAAAUGCGUAGAUAUCAGGAGGAACACCGGUGGCGAAGGCGGCUCUCUGGACCACAACUGACGCUGAGGCGCGAAAGCUAGGGGAGCAAACGGG